rnacentral:rRNA from 1 species
GACGAACGCUGGCGGCGUGCUUAACACAUGCAAGUCGAACGGAAAGGCCCUGCUUGCAGGGUACUCGAGUGGCGAACGGGUGAGUAACACGUGUGUGAUCUGCCCUGCACUUCGGGAUAAGCCUGGGAAACUGGGUCUAAUACCGGAUAGGAGCCAUUUUUAGUGUGAUGGUUGGAAAGUUUUUUCGGUGUAGGAUGAGCUCGCGGCCUAUCAGCUUGUUGGUGGGGUAAUGGCCUACCAAGGCGGCGACGGGUAGCCGGCCUGAGAGGGUGGACGGCCACAUUGGGACUGAGAUACGGCCCAGACUCCUACGGGAGGCAGCAGUGGGGAAUAUUGCACAAUGGGCGCAAGCCUGAUGCAGCGACGCCGCGUGGGGGAUGACGGCCUUCGGGUUGUAAACUCCUUUCGCUAGGGACGAAGCUUUUUGUGACGGUACCUAGAGAAGAAGCACCGGCUAACUACGUG